AGUAACGCCCCCCCUUUAUCUACGGCCAAAUCCUCGGGGAAACACCUGGAGAGCCCAUCAAGUAUGGCCGGGCAGGCUAUAUAUUAUCAUCAAUUUGAAAGUUCGAUUGGCUCUCUCCACCUGUCCAGAGGAUUCUGGAUGGUACGGGCAGUUCAGGACAGUUCCAGUGCACAUUCAGCAUGCGGCCCACCUCGGCACAGACUGCUCCAGUGAAGUGUGUUCCGUUGUCUGAGCAGAUCUGUUCCGGCAAUCCGUAUCGGGGAAUGAUGUCUUUCAUGAGGACUUUGGCAGCUAGGCUAUAAAGGCUAACUAGACAACACCAGUCUACACUCUACAGAGGACUGCAUGCAGACCCCACCAGAGG